rnacentral:rRNA from 1 species
UAGCGGAACUCCUACGGGAGGCAGCAGUGGGGAAUCUUGCGCAAUGGGCGAAAGCCUGACGCAGCCAUGCCGCGUGAAUGAUGAAGGUCUUAGGAUUGUAAAAUUCUUUCACCGGGGACGAUAAUGACGGUACCCGGAGAAGAAGCCCCGGCUAACUUCGUGCCAGCAGCCGCGGUAAUACGAAGGGGGCUAGCGUUGCUCGGAAUUACUGGGCGUAAAGGGCGCGUAGGCGGAUCGUUAAGUCAGAGGUGAAAUCCCAGGGCUCAACCCUGGAACUGCCUUUGAUACUGGCGAUCUUGAGUAUGAGAGAGGUAUGUGGAACUCCGAGUGUAGAGGUGAAAUUCGUAGAUAUUCGGAAGAACACCAGUGGCGAAGGCGACAUACUGGCUCAUUACUGACGCUGAGGCGCGAAAGCGUGGGGAGCAAACAGGAUUAGAAACCCUAGUAGUCCACUUAUG